rnacentral:rRNA from 1 species
CUUAGUUCCGUGGCUUCCCGGGUGCGUAACGCGUAUGCAACCUACCUUAAACUGGGGGAUAGCCUUCCGAAAGGGAGAUUAAUACCGCAUAAUACUAUUUGAGGGCAUCUGAGGAUAGUUAAAGAUUUAUUGGUUUAAGAUGGGCAUGCGUGCCAUUAGCUAGUUGGUAGGGUAACGGCCUACCAAGGCGACGAUGGCUAGGGGUUCUGAGAGGAUGAUCCCCCACACUGGCACUGAGAUACGGGCCAGACUCCUACGGGAGGCAGCAGUAGGGAAUAUUGGGCAAUGGGCGAAAGCCUGACCCAGCCAUGCCGCGUGCAGGAAGAAGGCCUUCUGGGUUGUAAACUGCUUUUAUCUGGGAAGAAAAAGCCCCUGCGGGGGAAACUGACGGUACCAGAGGAAUAAGCACCGGCUAACUCCGUGCCAGCAGCCGCGGUAAUACGGAGGGUGCAAAGCGUUGUCCGGAUUUAUUGGGGUUUNAAAGGGUGCGUANGCCGCCCGGUUAAGUCAGUGGUGAAAACCUCCAGCUCACCUGGGAGACUGCCAUUGAUACUGCCGGGCUUGAGUA